rnacentral:rRNA from 1 species
GUGGCGAACGGGUGAGUAAUACAUCGGAACGUGCCUAGUAGUGGGGGAUAACUACUCGAAAGAGUGGCUAAUACCGCAUGAGAUCUAUGGAUGAAAGCAGGGGACCUUCGGGCCUUGUGCUACUAGAGCGGCCGAUGGCAGAUUAGGUAGUUGGUGGGAUAAAAGCUUACCAAGCCUACGAUCUGUAGCUGGUCUGAGAGGACGAUCAGCCACACUGGGACUGAGACACGGCCCAGACUCCUACGGGAGGCAGCAGUGGGGAAUUUUGGACAAUGGGGGAAACCCGGAUCCAGCAAUGCCGCGUGCAGGAUGAAGGCCUUCGGGUUGUAAACUGCUUUUGUACGGAACGAAAAGUCUUGGGUUAAUACCCUGGGAUCAUGACGGUACCGUAAGAAUAAGCACCGGCUAACUACGUGCCAGCAGCCGCGGUAAUACGUAGGGUGCAAGCGUUAAUCGGAAUUACUGGGCGUAAAGCGUGCGCAGGCGGUUUUGUAAGACAGUGGUGAAAUCCCCGG